AUUGAACGCUGGCGACAGGCCUAACACAUGCAAGUCGAGCGCGAAAGUCUUCGGAUGAGUAAAGCGGCGAACGGGUGAGUAAUGCAUGGGAAUCUGCCUGGUAGUGGGGGACAACGUCUCGAAAGGGACGCUAAUACCGCAUACGCCUACGGGGGAAAGGGGGGAGUCUUCGGACCUCUCGCUAUCAGAUGAGCCCAUGUCAGAUUAGCUAGUUGGUGAGGUAAAGGCUCACCAAGGCGACGAUCUGUAACUGGUCUGAGAGGAUGAUCAGUCACACUGGAACUGAGACACGGUCCAGACUCCUACGGGAGGCAGCAGUGGGGAAUAUUGGACAAUGGGGGCAACCCUGAUCCAGCCAUGCCGCGUGUGUGAAGAAGGCCCUAGGGUUGUAAAGCACUUUCAGUGGGGAGAAAGGUUAUUCACCUAAUACGUGAGUAGAUUGAUGUUACCCACAGAGAAGCACGGCUAAUCCUGCAGCAGCCG
rnacentral:rRNA from 1 species